UACGUAGGGUGCGAGCGUUGUCCGGAAUUAUUGGGCGUAAAGAGCUUGUAGGCGGUUUGUCGCGUCUGCUGUGAAAAUCCGGGGCUCAACCCCGGACUUGCAGUGGGUACGGGCAGACUAGAGUGUGGUAGGGGAGACUGGAAUUCCUGGUGUAGCGGUGAAAUGCGCAGAUAUCAGGAAGAACACCCGUGGCGAAGGCGGCUCUCUGGGACGGUACUGACGCUGAGACGCGAAAGCGUGGGGAGCGAACAGG
rnacentral:rRNA from 1 species